CCUACGGGGGGCAGCAGUGAGGAAUAUUGGUCAAUGGACGAGAGUCUGAACCAGCCAAGUAGCGUGAAGGAUGACUGCCCUAUGGGUUGUAAACUUCUUUUAUAUGGGAAUAAAACGUUCCACGUGUGGGAUUUUGUAUGUACCAUAUGAAUAAGGAUCGGCUAACUCCGUGCCAGCAGCCGCGGUAAUACGGAGGAUCCGAGCGUUAUCCGGAUUUAUUGGGUUUAAAGGGAGCGUAGGUGGAUUGUUAAGUCAGUUGUGAAAGUUUGCGGCUCAACCGUAAAAUUGCAGUUGAAACUGGCAGUCUUGAGUACAGUAGAGGUGGGCGGAAUUCGUGGUGUAGCGGUGAAAUGCGUAGAUAUCACGAAGAACUCCGAUUGCGAAGGCAGUUCACUGGACUGCAACUGACACUGAGGCUCGAAAGUGUGGGUAUCAAACAGGAUUAGAUACCCGAGUAGUC
rnacentral:rRNA from 1 species